CUGGGGCUGGCUCAGUGGUAGAGCGCUUGACUUGCAUGCAUGAGGCCCUGGGUUCGAUUCCUCAGCACCACA
rfam:Dipodomys ordii contig_43063, whole genome shotgun sequence.